rnacentral:lncRNA from 1 species
GGUGUGAAAAUGGACAAGGAUUUGGAAAGGGCUUUGAGGUGUAUCUGUGCUGGAUAGAGGACUGAGUUACUGUCAGAUGUACUCUCCUGGGUAUAUAUUUGCACCACUCCUGUCUGACAGUACACACAAAAAGCUGCUUCCUGAUGCUGUUUAUCCAAAACCCCACCUGCUGUCAAGGGCAGUGCUGGCCGUGUGAAACAUCUUCACAGCCAUGCAGCAGCUGUACCUAGUAGGCUUGAUUUCUGCAAUGAAUUACCAAGGGUCUUUUUUGUUCAGGAGAUCCUCAAGUACUGUACUCUGGAAAAAAAGAAGAGUGUCAACAAUGUAUUUGAACAUUAGCUGCCAGCAAGCUGGAUGAAUGAUUUGCCUUUCACAGUCACUGAAUGUCCUGAAGUAUCCCUGACAAGGUUGCAGAGAGUGAGACCAAGAACAAGGCAACCAAGACCACCUGAGUUAAGAGUCCUG